rnacentral:ncRNA from 18 species
UACGCGUGUCGCGACUGGCGCCGGGUGGGGCACCACCGGGGAGCGGCAUCAACCAAGAGCGCUCGCGGGCGACCGCGGGUGCCAGGACUCCGGGGUCGCCCGCCUGGGCCACGGGU